GACGAACGCUGGCGGCGUGCUUAACACAUGCAAGUCGAACGGAGAUUAUUAAUGAAGCUUGCGAUUUAAUAAUCUUAGUGGCGGACGGGUGAGUAACGCGUGGGCAACCUACCCAUAAGCGGGGGAUAACAGUUGGAAACGACUGCUAAUACCGCAUAAGCUAUUAAGGUCACAUGACCUUAAUAGUAAAGGUGGCGAUUUUACAUUGCUAUCACUUAUGGAUGGGCCCGCGUCUGAUUAGCUAGUUGGUGGGAUAGCAGCCUACCAAGGCAACGAUCAGUAGCCGGCCUGAGAGGGUGGACGGCCACACUGGGACUGAGACACGGCCCAGACUCCUACGGGAGGCAGCAGUGGGGAAUAUUGCGCAAUGGGGAAACCCUGACGCAGCGACGCCGCGUGAGCGAAGAAGGCCUUAGGGUCGUAAAGCUCUGUUGUAAGGGACGAAUGUUUAUCUGGCGAACAGUCAGAUAAAGUGACGGUACCUUACCAGCAAGCCCCGGCUAACCG
rnacentral:rRNA from 1 species